UACGUAGGGUGCGAGCGUUAAUCGGAAUUACUGGGCGUAAAGCGUGCGCAGGCGGUUCGUUGUGUCGGCGGUGAAAGCCCCGGGCUUAACCUGGGAAUGGCCGUCGAAACUGGCGAACUGGAGUGUGGCAGAGGGGGGUGGAAUUCCGCGUGUAGCAGUGAAAUGCGUAGAGAUGCGGAGGAACACCGAUGGCGAAGGCAGCCCCCUGGGCUGACACUGACGCUCAGGCACGAAAGCUAGGGGAGCAAACAGG
rnacentral:rRNA from 1 species